GUACUCCUUUUCUUUUUGAGGAUACAGACUAACACGGCUGCUACUCUGAAACCUAUAAAUAAGUUAGAUGUGGGGGAGAGGACUUUGCCACAGAUCACUUCCCAAUAUUUGCAUGACUGUUGACCUUAGUAAGCUAUGAUAGUCACAUAGGUAGGCAAUUAAUACUAUGCCAAAUUGUUAUGAGAAAAACUGACCUUGAUGAGCAGUUCAAUCUAUUUUACACAUUAUUUAGGUUCAGGUCAUUGUUUUUGUUCAGAAACACUAAAAAUCAUGGGGAGGUGUUAAUUUUAUAAUAUAAAAUUCCAUGUGCCUUCACUUUUGGUUGUACACUACAAACAUGGGUAUAUUCAGUCCUGAAGAGCACUUUCGUUGAUAUGUAUAUGGGGCAGAGCUAACAGUUUGCCCUCAGCUUUUUCCUGCCAUAUAAUCUUGGUGCAACAAGAACUGGGUGCUUCAAAGGGGGAAGUGCACUUGAGAACUAGGUACUUGCUCCUUAAACUUUCUGCAGUGCAGAAAUAAAAUCUUUAUACUAGAUUUUCUGUAAAGCAAACUGAAGGCUUGUUACAUUUACAAGAUUCUAGCUUGAGGCUCCUUGAGCACUAUAUUCCCAAGUGGGCACACGCUUCAUGCUACUACCUAUUUCCAAAUCUUGACUACAUUAACCAUUAGCGUAGCAGUUAUGAAGCCUUGUGUAACUUUCAUUUUGACUGAGUCAGGGGUUGAGCUUUUCAAGUCUAGAUCUGAUAAAGAAUUGCACAAAAUAAAGAAUCUUGAAUUGGUAUUCUGUUGGUGAUCUUGGACGACUAUUCAUUUUGUGUUAUAAAUUUCAAUGGACAAUUUAGCUUAAUACCAAAAAAAAACCCUCAUUAAUAACUGGGAGAACCAGUAAAAAUUACUGAAAUUGACAAUUGGUAAAUGUGCAUCACGAUGUAAUUCACAGUUUAGUUUUAAUUUGAUAUUUCACAACACACUAGUAAAUGGCUGUAAUAUGUCUAAAAAAGUAAUGAAGUCUUAGUGGUAUGAGACCUUCCCACAACACUAGAAAAUCUGAGUUAUGGUGGCACAGGCUAUUGGUACACUAUGGUGAGUAAAAGUGCAAAAUUAGCAAGGUUCUACUGUAGUUAUUCCAAAUGACUAGCUAAUCAAAGUUCUGCUUGUGCUAUCGGACUAAAGACUUUUAUUUCACCUCUUGGCUUUCACAUUCCACUCCUUUUUAUUUGAGCUAAAACAAGUUUCUCUGUGGGGAAGGAGGUUACUCUUGGUACCCUUGUUUCAGGAUAUUCAUAGUCUACUGGUAUUCUUAAAUGUAUGUAUUUGAAUCGGCAAAUAUAUUGCUGAGGAAGAUGUGAAUUGAACUAAAACAAUUUGUAUGGUACAAAAAAACUGUAGCACUUACUAGUCUUUUUUUAAUGGUACACUUGAAAUAUUGAAUGUUUAUCCAUUAUUCAAUUUUUAUGAUAGUGUGAUGCAGCAAGCCUGUAACUUAACCAUUUGAUCACUUGUAUUGCAUCUUUGCCUGAAAUAUUAGAGGCCUGGAUGCCUGUCAGUUUUUAAUAUAAGUUUGUUUUUUUAUGGGUGUUUAUCUGAAUGGAUAUUUGAGCUAAGAAUCUGCAGAAGUCAAACUUUAAUUUUACUGAAAUAAACAAAUGCCAGUGA